rnacentral:ncRNA from 1 species
UACUUGGUUGAUCCUGCUAGUAGUCAUAUAGUUGUCUUAAAGAUUAAGCCAUGCAUAUGUAAGUAUUAACAAAUUCAUACUGUGCAACUACGAAUGGCUCAUUCAAUCAGUUAAGCUAUGAAUGUCCUAGUGAAGAAAUUCAACCAUGCGGGGGUAAACGGUCGGAGUAACUAUGACUCUUUUAAGGUAGCCAAAUGCCUCUUCAUCUCAGACUGUGAAACUGCGAAUGGCUCAUUAAAUCAGUUAUAGUUUGUUUGAUGGUAUCUACUACUCGGAUAACCAUAGUAAUUCUAGAGCUAAUAUGUGCAAAAACCACGACAUAAGGAAGGAAUACAUUUAUUAGAUAAAAGGUCGACGCGGGAUCUGCCCAUUAUCGCGAUGAUUCAUGAUAACUCGACGGAUCGCAAGACCAUCAUGACGGUGACGCAUUAUUCUAAUUUCUGCUCGAUCAACUUUCGAUGGUAGGAUAGUGGCCUACCAUGGUAGUGGCAGGUGAUGGAAAAUUAGGGUUCUAUUCCUGAGAGGGAGCCUGAGAAAUGACUACCACAUCCAAGGAAGGCCGUAGGUGCGCAAAUUACACAAUUCUGACACGGGGAGGUAGUGACAAUAAAAAAAAGUACAGGCGAUGCGCUCCUGGCCUUAAUUGGCUGGGUUAUGCCUCCGGCGCUUUUGCUUUGAACAAAUUAGAAGGCUCAAAGCAAGCCUACUGUCAC